CAUUUACUAUUAAGCGUAAUUCACAACACAAUUAUGACAAGGCGUUGUCUAUUUGCUAGGUAAAUCUUACACCCCCGUAUAAGAUUCUUGGCUUAUGAAUAAUAAGUACGAUAUUAUAUUGUAAAAUGUCAUGGUGGUCAUUCUAAAAAAAGGCCGCUAAGCAGGAAAAAAAAGUUUAUCGUUUGUAAAAUGUUUAUUCAAUUGUAGCGCUGGCCCUGGGUGGGUGGGUAUACUAUAAAAUUUACUGCGUCUGCUCUGAAAAUUAUUCUUUUGUGCGCCACUGA